GGGACUCCUCCCAGCGUCUGAAAGGAAGGCGGCCCCGCUGCAGAGAUGCUGAGCUCAGCUCUACCGCCGCCGGGCUGCUGGGUGGGGGCUGGGCGAGGAGCCGGCGCCUUUCUGGAUGGAGAAAGUGAGGCGCAGAGCUGAGGUGUGGACCGAACUGGUUUGGGAUUUACUCUUUGCUUGAGGAGGUAACUCUGUUCUCUUAAGUUAAAGCAAGGAGAGCCUGGAAUUUUCUCUUUUACCUUUGUUCAGCUUCGCUAAGGCCUCCCUGUCAAACCUUUUAAUAGCUCCCACUGCCUUUUAGAGCAAGUCUGGCUUCUUACGUUGGCCUUGCAAGCCUCUAGGGCAGGCCCUUGUCUAUCUCAAGCUUCAUCUCCUUCCCAAAGCCAGGAGGGGGAAAUCACAGAUGGUUCUAAUUACCUCUGAAACGCUCUUAAAUUUUCCAUAAAGUACAGUAUGCCUGGCUUUGUGUAUAUAACUUUGUACAGUAAUAUGUAUGUAGAUGUGCAAAAUAUAUACAGCCACAUACCGUGGAGCAUAAAGAGAACGUCAACAAAGUUUAAGCAUAUAAUUUCCAGUAUUUUCAAUCACGCUAAAGAGAAACAGACACACAGACCUGGAAGUGAGACUGGCAGAGGUAACAGCAGAUUUCUGUCUUGUCCCAUCUGGUGCCCCCUCUGGGGCAUGAAAUCCUUGGCCCCUAGGGAGGAGAAUGGGGGUCGCUUGCACUCCUUAAACUGCUCUUUUGGGUUUGGAUUAUUCCUUCAGCGCUGGUAUAAUUGACUUCACCUAGGUGCUCUAUGGGAUGCACCAUAGAUGCUUUUCGUCUUUGGUCUCAAAUGUCUUCCCUUCCAGCUUGCUCCCAUCUUCACACUGAUUACUCUUCCCAGAUACCCUUCUAGUCCCUUCUGGCUGACACCCCAAGCUUGUCUCAGCUCAGGGCUCCCCAGGAGCCCCUUUUGAACACACCAGGGAGCUUUGUGUGCCCCAGCAGGGCAGGGAGUGUAGGGCAAGGCGUCCAGCCCAGACCUUGCCUCUGAAGCCAGUGCUCCAUUCCCAGAGCUGUGGCUAUGUGGCUGUCUUUGCACAUCAUUAUUUAUUGAAAUGAUCCUAUCCUAGAUCUGAGAGUAGAUCAGACUGUAAAUUCCUUCAGAAGUCCUAUCUUAUUUUAAAUCUUUAAACACCCACCUCCAUCACUACCACAAUUCCUCCCCCCCCCAACGCUCACACACAACACCCCUACACCUCUCUAUGUUGGCUGUAUAUGGUAUAUGCUCAACAAGUUAUCUGGUCCAGAAUUGAAUGGAGCUAGAGCUCACUUGUGACUCAAGGUCAAUGUGAUAUCAGUGAGAAGUCUCCCCUGACCCCUCUCAGGCAGUGGAGAACUCUGCUUCCUAUGAACUCUGAUAGGAUGUAUUAUGGUCACAGAAAGUUAAAACCAAAAGGGGAUUUCCCUUCUUGUCAGAUGCGAAGACUAAAGGGGAAGUGGCCGGGAAGGGGAACCAGAUCCUCAUGGUCUGCUGGCUUCGCUGGCCCUCUCUCCACGGCACCUCAUCACCUCUUCAGAGAGGCCUCCCCUGGUGGCCCCAUCCCUUGUCCUGGGUUGUUUCCUUCCGGAGCACACAUCCCAAAUGUAAUUAUACAAGUACUUAUCUGUGUGAGUGUGCAACCCCUGUCUAAACUGCAAGCUCCGAGAAGUCAGGGUCUGUAUCUGUUUCAUCCUGGGGCUCCAGUGCCCUGCACAAAGCCAGAGUUCCCAACAGAUAUAUAUGAGGAGUUCCCAUCGUGGCGCAGUGGUUAACGAAUUCGACUAGGAACCAUGACGUUGCGGGUUCGGUCCCUGCCCUUGCUCAGUGGGUUAAGGAUCCAGCGCUGCCGUGAGCUGUGGUGUAGGUUGCAGACGUGGCUUGGAUCCUGCGUUGCUGUGGCUCUGGCGUAGGCUGGUGGCUACAGCUCCAAUUCGACCCCUAGCCUGGGAACCUCCAUAUGCCGCGGGAGCGGCCCAAAGAAAUAGCAAAAAGACAAACAAACAAACAAAAACAGAUAUAUAUGAAAAGAAAGUAUCGGUGUGGCCUGAGAACCUCCUUCCUCUUGCCCGGGGCAGCACCGAGAUUGGCUCCAAAAUUGUAGUUGACAGGCUGAGUGUGCUCCUUGUCAGGACCUCCAAGGCAGACACUUGGAAGGGGAGAUAAGACACCUCGUGUAUAACCCUAACACAGGGAACACAGCUGAGUUGGGGAUGAUAGACUGGGUGUCGCAAUUGAGCAGUGGCACGGAAGGCAGAUGGGAGCUUGGAGACCUGAGGCCAGGAACCAGAUAGUGAUUGAAAAAAAAGAAAACCACCUUGAGUGUCUGAGGCAGGAGAAUGGUUAAAUAAACUAUAGGACAUCCAAAUCAUGGAAUAUUAUGUAGGGAUUAAAAAGGGGAAGGUCAGUUUUGGAAAAAUGGCCCAGAUAUGUUGUCAGGUAAAAAGAACAAGUUGCAGAACAAUUUGUAUCCUCUAAUCUCAUUCUGGAAAAAAAAAAAAAAAUCAACCAAACCAAACAGAGGACACUCCCCUGCAGACACCCACUACAUGUGCAGAGAAAACAUCUAGAGAAAUAUUGGACAAACUGUCCACAGAGGUUAUCUCUGAGGAAGGGAGGGGAGAGAGAGUGUACCUUUUUUCUUUUGCUUCCAAGUUAAAAAGUAAGCUUACUUUUAUUUUGCUUUGUAGAAACACUGGAAAUUGGAUUUUUACCAUGAGCUCAUAUUACUUUCUCAAGAGUUUUUUGUUUGGGUUUUUUUGCCUUUUCAGGACUGGGAAUGGGGUGGGGCCGCAGCAGUGGAGACCCAGGAGAAGGACUGCGGGGAGGGAGCACUGACUGGACCUGGACAGAUGGAGGGAGGGUCUGAGCUGACUCUGUGGUUCUAAAUGGGGAGAAGCAGGGAUUGCUGUGGACACACAACAACGUGGGAAGCAUGGGGCAGGGUAGGAGGAGGCUCGCUGACCACCACAUGCCUCUGAGUCUGGGUAGGGGACAAGGAGCCCAAGGUCAUGAAACCCUGACUUUGGGGACCAAGGGCAAGGAAAGGAAGAAGGUCGACCUUUAGGACCCUACGGAUUCCUUGGCUGUUUCACCAUCCUUCGGGUACAGAGUGUUCUGGCUGCAGCUUGGAAACAAACAGAGCAAGGAGGGGCCAAAGCCAAAACCGGCAGGAGGAGUGUGCCUUCCACAGGCCUCGGUGGUGGUGGUGGUGCUGCUGCUGCUGCUGCUGCUGGUGCUGCUGGUGCUGGUGGUGGUGCUGGUGGUGGUGGUGCUGCUGNGUGCUGGUGGUGGUGCUGCUGCUGCUGCCGCUGCUGCCGCCGCUGCCUGGGUCUCUGCCCUCCUCCCACUUGUUUUUUUGGGGUGAAAGGCCAGGGCUUCUGGCCCCUUCUGGAGGCGAGGCCCCUGACUAGGACCAGGAGCCAAGGAAACCAGAACAAUGCUGUUCGUGGAGAGACGAGGGGGGGAGCUGAGUAGGGGCAGGAGAAGUUUCUUGGCACAGAGAAGCCCAUGAAAGCCUGGAGAAGGUCAAAGAUGAGGAAUGUUCUGUAAUUUCUAAGACAGCAGCUCAUUUAUCUCAUACACACUUGCUCUGAGCCUGAACUCCAGUGGGAACACUGCCCCCAUGCAGGCUGGGUGAACCCCCCUCUGAGGGACUGCGUUUAGAUGCAUAUCUCCAGGUCUCCCCACAAAAGCACCUGUGAAAGGAAGUGGGGAGACUGACGGCUGCCAUGAACCCUGGGGCUCUUUCACGGGUGUCUGUUCUGUCUGCACUACAGCUUCGUAAAGGGGAUAUUCUUUCACAAAGGAGGAAACUGAGGCUGGGGAGGAUGGUGCCUUGCCCGUGACCGCAUGGUUAGCAAGUGUUAAAACUGAGAUUCGAACCUGGGUGUGCCUGUGUUCCACUUAUAAUUUGGUUGCUCGGAGCCCAGAACACAUUUUCCCAUCAAAAUAAUGCUCUAAGUGGUGGUUUGGUUGUCAUGAUGGCCCAGCUCACCCAGGGUAUAGGCGGAAUUAAUUCUAUGUUUCAGUGCGGUUGUGAUGAAUCAGGCUUCUGCGGGCCAGCCUGGAAAGCCACAGGAGAGGGAAAAUGCACUUGAGGGUGUGCCCAGCUGGGAACUCUUACCCUUACUCUAGCGCCUGAUUCAAGGCCAGCAGGGAAUGUGGUGGCUCAGGGAGCACUUGUCCAUUUCCAGAGCUCUUCCCGAAAGCCCUGGUGAGUUCUAGCUGUUUAUUGAAGGCAGAGCGCUUGGCAGGUUUGGGGUUUCUAAGACUGGGAGCAUUACAAUGAGGAUGUGCUUUGAUUUUCAGAUUGCGCACAUCUUGGUCCUUUCUCUUCUUUACACACUGCUCCGCUUUGGGCGGUCAUCUGCCCUCUUCUUCCUCUAGGAUGGAGCACUAAAGGCAAUAUCUAGGGUUCAUUUUCACCACUAAAUCUGGUGUCUGCCUGUGAAGGGGGUGGGCGACAGUGACUGCACAGGGGAGGAGUGAUGGAGAUGGAAGCCACUGCUGAGAGAAGCAAGGAUCCAUUGAAACUUUUACAGGGACUUCAGGGAGAGCAAUCACUCAUUCACUCUGCAGACGUGUGCUGUGGGUGUGCUGGGCCCUGUCCCCCUUCCUUUAGUGGCACCCCUGUUGCCAAAAGAAUCCUGAACAGGACUGACUGUGGGUCUCAGACCCAGCAUCUUAGUGUUGGAAGAAAAUCUUUUUCCAAAUAGAAAGUGCAGUCUUUCAUUCAUUCAGGAAGGUCUGAGUGGCAGGCCUACUACUGAGAAUAUGUAACACUUGAAAAUUGAAAUCCAAGGAGUUCCCGUUGUGGCUCAGUGGGUUAAGAAUCCCACUAGUAUCCAUGAGGAUGCAGGUCUGAUCCCUGGCCUUGCUUGGUGUUGCUCUGACCUGUGGUGUAGGUCGAAGAUGUGGCUUGGAUCAGGCAUUGCUGUGGCUGUGGCAUAGGCUGGCAGCUGAAGUUCCAAUUAACCCUUAACCCCUAGCCUGGGAACUUCCAUAUGCCACAGGUAUGGCCCUAAAAAGCAAAAAAAAAAAAAAAAAAAAAAAAA
rnacentral:lncRNA from 1 species